CAUAGUCUUACUUAUUCUAGAAAAGUAUUUGGUUACAUGCUAACAAACCUACAAUAAAAAUCAGGAAGAAUACUUAUAGCCUAUGUUACUGGACUAUUUUCUACGUAAGAAUUAGAUAAACUCUAAAAUCUCACUAAGUUCACUAUCACUAACACUGAUGCAGGAUUUUUCUUCUUGGUCAUUUUGCAAGCCGGGGACCCCCGGCCAGUGACACUCCACCCGGGCCUCGCUCGGCCACGCUGGCAUGCCCCAGCUCACCUAUGUUAUAGCUUGUACCUGCAUUCGGUGGUUCCCGAGCUCUGGUACUGCACCCAAGAAGAAUAAGGAUACGCUGGGCAUUGAAGUGGAACCAAGGGCGGGUAAUAUCAGAAGAAAAUCGUGCGAUGAAAAUGAAGAUCAGAAGCGCAUACUGAACAAGCAACUGACUUUGUUAAUCUCUUGAAAAAUAGCAUCAAGGGGGAUGUUUUUAAAUUAAAGAAGAAUGAUUUUGCUUUUCA